rnacentral:rRNA from 1 species
AUUGAACGCUGGCGGCAGGCCUAACACAUGCAAGUCGAGCGGUUGACGGGAGCUUGCUCCCUGAUUCAGCGGCGGACGGGUGAGUAAUGCCUAGGAAUCUGCCUAUUAGUGGGGGACAACGUUUCGAAAGGAACGCUAAUACCGCAUACGUCCUACGGGAGAAAGCAGGGGACCUUCGGGCCUUGCGCUAAUAGAUGAGCCUAGGUCGGAUUAGCUUGUUGGUGAGGCAAUGGCUCACCAAGGCGACGAUCCGUAACUGGUCUGAGAGGAUGAUCAGUCACACUGGAACUGAGACACGGUCCAGACUCCUACGGGAGGCAGCAGUGGGGAAUAUUGGACAAUGGGCGAAAGCCUGAUCCAGCCAUGCCGCGUGUGUGAAGAAGGUCUUCGGAUUGUAAAGCACUUUAAGUUGGGAGGAAGGGUUGUAGAUUAAUACUCUGCAAUUUUGACGUUACCGACAGAAUAAGCACCGGCUAACUCUGUGCCAGCCGCCGCUGUAAGAC